rnacentral:lncRNA from 1 species
CGAUUGUAUUUUGGGAGCAGAUGCCCUAUUUUCUACUUGAACAGAUCUACAGAUGGAGAGGAAUUUUGCCCCUGGAUGGAUUGUACCCAGAGCCUCACCCACAUCUGAUUUAGAUGUAUUGUCCUAAUCUAUUCCCAGGACUAUAGCCAAAUGUAUGCCUAAUGAAAACACCUGGAUUAAUAAGGUAAAUGGAAGCCUCAUUCCCCAAGA